AGCACGUAUAGUAGAGAUUUCUAUUAGAUUUCUGUUAUCAACAAAAUUUUUCACCGUUUAUUUUUGUCAAGAAAAAAUAAAAUAAAAAAAUUUGCUAAAUUAAAAAAAAAAAGUGAAGAAUGGAUAUCCCAAAGGCAGGAGCUCCGCGCCCAAACUCAAACACAGCGCAUCCCUGGGAUCCGAUCUCGCGUUAUUGUCAUCGAGAUGUGCACAGCUGGUCACACUAAGACCGACUGGCCCUGAGAGAGUAAAGCCCAUUGCACUACCUGGGCACACUAGUCGGCGGCUAUAUAUCAAACUUCACUUCACAGAUACAGUCAUUGACGUUCCGGCUAGAGGUGGAGAAACAUCGAUUUUGGUAGUUGCUCUCGUUAUUGAGGGUCUUAAACGGUCUUAACCAUGUGCUCUCGUAAAGAUCGUUGUCUCAUGAAGUGCAUUCCUGGCAAACUGGCUUGCUUGACGAUACGUUAACCUCACGUGACCAUAUUCUAUGCUGCGUCGACACACUUACAAGUCAAAGCUUCUUCUCCGGAUGUUAUUAGACUGUGCGUCAUAUUUUUGUCCCACCAGGACUCGGACUGGCCAAGGCUACAAACUGGCGAUCCGCAACUGCUCCGAGAAGAAUCCUUCUCACCAUUCCAACUGAGACUUUAUGCCUGCGCGCAGUUCUGCUCGUUGAUAUGGGUGAAUCAGGUCAGACACACCAACGCACUAUGGGGCGAACGACCACUUUUAGUGAAAUUAAUUAAUAACUCGAGAACGAAGCAACAUAUUUAAGUUCUGUUUUUUGAUUUAUGUUCAUGAUAAAAAUAGUAA